CCCUCAGUAGUAUAAACGGUUAAUGCACUUGGCUGCUAGCCAAAAGGUUAGAGGUUCGAGUCUACUCGGAGGUG
rnacentral:tRNA from 1 species